GUAUCGUGCUGGAUGAGAACCUGCGUUCAGGUUCGAGCCGAGCGAAGCGAGACGACAACGCACAGCGUUGCCCGCAGGGCGAGGCCCAGGGCCGAGUCAAUCCUGCACGACCCACCA
rnacentral:sRNA from 1 species